UGGGGAAUUUUGGACAAUGGGCGAAAGCCUGAUCCAGCAAUGCCGCGUGUGUGAAGAAGGCCUUCGGGUUGUAAAGCACUUUUGUCCGGAAAGAAAUCCUUGGCUCUAAUACAGUCGGGGGAUGACGGUACCGGAAGAAUAAGCACCGGCUAACUACGUGCCAGCAGCCGCGGUAAUACGUAGGGUGCAAGCGUUAAUCGGAAUUACUGGGCGUAAAGCGUGCGCAGGCGGUUUGCUAAGACCGAUGUGAAAUCCCCGGGCUCAACCUGGGAACUGCAUUGGUGACUGGCAGGCUAGAGUAUGGCAGAGGGGGGUAGAAUUCCACGUGUAGCAGUGAAAUGCGUAGAGAUGUGGAGGAAUACCGAUGGCGAAGGCAGCCCCCUGGGCCAAUACUGACGCUCAUGCACGAAAGCGUGGGGAGCAAACAGGAUUAGAUACCCUGGUAGUCCACGCCCUAAAACGAUGUCAACUAGUUGUUGGGGAUUCAUUUCCUUAGUAACGUAGCUAACGCGUGAGGUUGACCGCCUGGGGAGUACGGUCGCAAGAUUAAAACUCAAAGGAAUUGACGGGGUCAUAGCUGUUUCCU
rnacentral:rRNA from 1 species